UACGGAGGGUGCAAGCGUUAAUCGGAAUUACUGGGCGUAAAGCGUGCGUAGGUGGUUCGUUAAGUCCGUUGUGAAAGCCCCGAGUUCAACUUGGGAAUUGCAGUGGAUACUGGCGAGCUGGAGUGCGGUAGAGGAAGGUGGAAUUCCCGGUGUAGCGGUGAAAUGCGUAGAGAUCGGGAGGAACACCAGUGGCGAAGGCGGCCUUCUGGACCAGCACUGACACUCAAGCACGAAAGCGUGGGGAGCAAACAGG
rnacentral:rRNA from 1 species